rnacentral:rRNA from 1 species
GACGAACGCUGGCGGCGUGCUUAACACAUGCAAGUCGAACGGAAAGGCCCUGCUUUUGUGGGGUGCUCGAGUGGCGAACGGGUGAGUAACACGUGAGUAACCUGCCCUUGACUUUGGGAUAACUUCAGGAAACUGGGCUAAUACCGGAUAGGAGCUCCUGCUGCAUGGUGGGGGUUGGAAAGUUUCGGCGGUUGGGGAUGGACUCGCGGCUUAUCAGCUUGUUGGUGGGGUAGUGGCUUACCAAGGCUUUGACGGGUAGCCGGCCUGAGAGGGUGACCGGCCACAUUGGGACUGAGAUACGGCCAGACUCCUACGGGAGGCAGCAGUGGGGAAUAUUGCACAAUGGGCGGAAGCCUGAUGCAGCAACGCCGCGUGCGGGAUGACGGCCUUCGGGUUGUAAACCGCUUUCGCCUGUGACGAAGCGUGAGUGACGGUAAUGGGUAAAGAAGCACCGGCUAACUACGUG